AUUGAACGCUGGCGGCAGGCCUAACACAUGCAAGUCGAGCGGAUGAAGGGAGCUUGCUCCUUGAUUCAGCGGCGGACGGGUGAGUAAUGCCUAGGAAUCUGCCUAGUAGUGGGGGACAACGUUUCGAAAGGAACGCUAAUACCGCAUACGUCCUACGGGAGAAAGUGGGGGCUCUUCGGACCUCACGCUAUUAGAUGAGCCUAGGUCGGAUUAGCUAGUUGGUAGGGUAAAGGCCUACCAAGGCGACGAUCCGUAACUGGUCUGAGAGGAUGAUCAGUCACACUGGAACUGAGACACGGUCCAGACUCCUACGGGAGGCAGCAGUGGGGAAUAUUGGACAAUGGGCGCAAGCCUGAUCCAGCCAUGCCGCGUGUGUGAAGAAGGCCUUCGGGUCGUAAAGCACUUUAAGUUGAGAGGAAGGGCUUACGGUUAAUACCUGUGAGUUUUGACGUUACCAACAGAAUAAGCACCGGCUAACUUCGUGCCAGCCGCCGCCGUAA
rnacentral:rRNA from 1 species